CCAUUUUCUCAGUGGAAGAGGAAUCGAGGUGACCAGCUGAGCGAGAAAAUAGGUGAGGAGGCGCUGGAGGUUUGCUGAAAAGUGGAUACGAAACAAUGGACUGGGAACUGAUGGCCGAGUGGCCUGCCAGCCGGAAGGGCCCCUUUAAGGUUCUGGUGGUGAAUUUAAACAGAGCCCAGCCUGUCUGCAGCCCCAAUCGGCUGAGCAGGUGCAGGCGCGGAUUAGGCAGGACCUGGAGCUUUGCCAAGGAAGGAAGACAAAGUGAGAGAGGGUCUUGGGAGUGAAGGCCUAACGGAGGGAGCAAUUAUCAUGAUGGACAAGGAAAGCGGAGCCGCUACAGGAGACGAGCGAUGACACGAGGGGGGCCGAGGACCUUGCAAAGGUGGCAGGAUCAGCAGACUGAGGUUCCCUGGGCCCACCAAGCAUUGUUGGAGUCACGGUGCCGGAGGAAAUGAGCCGGCCUGACAGGAGGAGGCGGCCCGACGUGGAGAGCCUGGAAAUGGGGAUUGCGUCUCAGAGCCCGAGUCCUCAAAAUUCAAUUUACAGAAAGGCCUUUGACUAACAGGUAAAAUUCAUUAAUUAAUGUGAGUGUUAAAUAAAGGUGGCGCGUGCCCCGCGGCCGUGACUUCGACUUGUGACUAUUUCCGCAAACAGGGGGCAGGCAAAUAAAAGCGUCAGUGUAUUCCUGGGAGUUACGAAGAAUAAAACCGUACGCCUGGGAGCAACUUCAAGAGGCCCUAGCUCAGAUUACCGCACCUUCUCCCACCGGUUCGACACACGUUGGAGAAUGGCCACCGCUGACUGAAUCAGUCCGUCAUCUAUCUGCCCUAGAACUCUUUGUCAGGGCACAGUUUUGUGACAUGCUUGUCCUGCAGUGAAAGCCUGUGGACUUCAACUUCUUUCCCCUUUAGCGGGGGAGGGGGGGAACAGGUGCAGAUCAUCUGCUUAUUAACCCUUAAAACACAGGCAGGCAACUUCCACUUAGACUUUGGUGUCUACCAAGUGUCACCAGGCAGAAGGUUUUCACCCGGCAGGGAGGCAGAGGUGGCGAAAGGCCCGUAAGCAAAUUCGUGACAGUGCCCUGACAUGAAACUGUCCCACGCCCCCCAUGUUAAAACAAAACAAGACCUUCUGGACCGGCAUCUGUACUCUCAAGAAUAGCGUGACAUCUCCUCCAGAAAAACCGUGAGCCCCACAGUUUUAAGACCAGAAUCCACAUCGUGUCAGAGGUUGGAGCCGUGUCUUCGCCGAGGCUUUGCAUCGGCCCGAAUCCGACUCCGAAUCCCCCCGCUUGGCUUCCCCGGGAACUCGGUCCUCCUAUCUGGCUCUGCAGGGAUCUGUAGACACACAGCUCGUUAGGGGACUUGUUACACAGUGAACCAGCUGACUCAGGUGCUCUUGAGAAGUUUGCUCUGAGGAGAAACUCUGUUAUUAUAAGGCCUUAUUAGGGUUUCUGAGCCUUGGGCUUUUUGGCAGGUCAGUGUGCUAAACCAUUAAAAAAAUAUGGCAAGCCAGAUAGAAGGUCUUCUCUUCCUUUUUUUCUUUCUUUGUAAAGCCUGGAAACAGCACGGCAGACAGACUAACCGGAAAUCAAAGGGAAGGCAAAACAGCUGCUUCUUAAAGGCAUUGUUGCCGUGGCCGUUGCUUGUAUGUUUCUGGUUCUGAUUAAACGUAAGUAGCUUUUCAAAGGGGAUACUCGUUAAGAAAAAGGGGCCUAAAAGUCCCAGAUUCAAGAGAGACGUGAGAACAAGGAUCGAUUAUUUCAAACUUGCCCCGUUGGCUGCAGCAAUAGACGCCUAGAGAAAUAUUUUUCAGAGAAUUCUGCCUGAAAAUUACGAGAAGGAAGCAGUUGGGAAGAAGAAAUAUGCCGUUUCAAGGUGGGACAUGAUUAGACAUCUCAAAGAGGAAGGGCUGAAAAUCAUCAAACUGAGUAAUUCAUACUACACAUCAGUGGUUGGUGUUAAAGACAUACUGUCAGAGUCGGGAGGUCGUGGAGGUGGUUGGUCAGAUGGAGCCCUGGAGCCAAGGAGCCGAGGAUAGCGUUGGGAUUUCCAGCCUGGACAAGAAAAUGAAUGGUGAUUUUCUUAACCAAUAUUGACCACUUAAGAUGAGAAGCAUUUUGGCAAUGGUGUUUUUGUCG